GACGAACGCUGGCGGCGUGCUUAAUACAUGCAAGUCGAACGGAAAGGCCCUUCGGGGUACUCGAGUGGCGAACGGGUGAGUAACACGUGGGUGAUCUGCCCUUCACUGUGGGAUAAGCCUGGGAAACUGGGUCGAAUACCGAAUAGGACCACGCGCUUCUGGUUGUGUGGUGGAACGCUUUUGCGGUGUGGGGUGGGCUCCCGGCUUAUCCGCUGGUUGGUGGGGUAAUGGCGUACGAAGGCGACGACGGGUAGCCGGCCUGAGAGGGUGACCGGCCACACUGGGAUUGGGAUACGGGCCAGACUCCUACGGGAGGCAGCAGUGGGGGAUAGUGCACGAUGGGCGGAAGCCUGAUGCAGCGACGCCGCGUGAGGGAUGACGGCCUUCGGGUUGUAAAGCUCUUUCAAUAGGGACGAAGCGACAGUGACGGUACCUAUAGAAGAAGCACCGGCCAACUACGUG
rnacentral:rRNA from 1 species